rnacentral:rRNA from 1 species
GACAGAGGUGCCGAGCGUUAGGCGGAAUCACUGGGCUUAAAGCGUGUGUAGGCGGGCGGGCAAGUACCUUGUGAAAUCCCACGGCUCAACCGUGGAACGGCUGGGUAUACUGGGAGUCUUGAGCCACCUAGGGGCGAGUGGAACAAAUGGUGGAGCGGUGAAAUGCGUAGAUAUCAUUUGGAACGCCAAUGGUGAAAACAACUCGCUGGGGGUGUGCUGACGCUGAGACACGAAAGCCAGGGGAGCGAACGGG